CAUCACUGUGAGAGAGGAAAUGAAACCAGGCAGAAUCAUGUGCAAAAUACAAACACCCUCUGUGUUACCGUCUUUCUCACACACGAAGCGAAUGUUUAGAGUCAUACAAAUGAUGUAAUUUGGGAACAUUAAAAUGGCCCCAUUGAGAUACAACGUGUUGAAGACUGCAUACGGGGAAUAAAGAGACGGCCUUUAAAGUGAAACCAGACAAAUUCAAAUGCCGGGUAUCAAAUCCAGGCCCACUGCUGUUAAAUAUAUGAAAGAAAGGUCUUUCAUAUAUUUUCAAAUUUUGGCAGAUUUCUGCAAGAAGCUUAACACUAAGCAAUUCUGUUUGGGGAAACUUGAAAUAUUAAAUACAUCACAUUUGUGAUCGCGUUGAGAUGGAGGUUUCAAGCGUAAAUAACCAAGAUUCAAAAGGACCUUUAUUUUCUAAUUAUCCACAAGAACUCGGCCAAAUAUUUCAGGAAUUCAAUGAAUAUAUUUGAAUAAUGAACAGCGUACAAUGACUUGUUAUAGUGCUUUUCAAUUUAUCAGGCGCAUUGCUCACUUGUACGUGAAGAAAACAGGCUUCUGACAUUAUUCAAUUAACAAAAACCACAGAAAUAAUACAAGUAUUUUAACGCGCCUCAUUCAUUAAAAAUUACCUCGCCAUUAACCUGUCAGGAUCACAUGAUUAACAACGCCAAUUCAGCGGCCGCACAAGAGAUGAAAAAGCCGAGUCGAUUGCCUGGGUCUCAUGGCAUUUAAAAAAAAAAAAAAAAGCUUGAUUGCAUAGAUGCAAUCUUGACUCUGAACCCCCCUCAGAGGCUCCGUGGCGAUAACCACGGCGAGCAGUAGCUGUCACGGCCGGGCAGUAUGACUCACGCCAGGCGCGAGAAUGAUGUCCCGGGUGAGUCUCCUUUCGCCCCACUGGGAGUGCGCACUGUCCUGCUCCUCUGGUGUCUUAGAGUGUCUCGGGCCCAGAGGUCAGCGUCUCAUUUUACACGGACAAAAAAUCUAUUACAAAAAAAAAAACCUCUCUCUCUCUCUCUCUCUCUCUCUCUCUCGCUCGCUCGCAAUAAACCCGCCGGGGGAAACGAGGCUUUCCUCUAAUUGUUUUUCCUUGGCUGCGAAGCCGGCCUGGUUCUGAGUGAACGCGGUGCACGGCGUGCCUGUGAUUGGUGCGCAGCUCAUUCAGACCCAUCACUCACACACCGCUGUGUGUAGUGCGGCAUUAUUCAUUCCGGGAAGGAGUGUGUGACUUUGCAUCUACAUUGGACUCAAAGUGAACUGUGUAUUAAAUAAACCACUCCUAUGUUAUGGACGCAUUAAUCAGGUGAAGAUCCAUGGGUGACCUGCUGUGGAACGCCUGGGUGUUGCGGCGAAAGCGAUGCAUCCUGGGAGUCCUUGAACUGGCUCCUCUUACUCAGUUUCCUUUCACAGUAAUUUACUUUUCAUUGACGACAUAUUACGGAAAGAUACUGUUAUCCUGCUGCCAGUAAUCAACCCUAAUAUUACGGUAUUUGUGCGGACCACCUGUAUGUACACACACACACAUGAACCGUGUGGGAAGAAGAGGAGGAUGGCAUCUAAUUAAAAAGAGUUAACGACAGAAGUGUUAAUGCAGAGUUUUUAGGGCAUUCAGUAUUCAUCCUCUUACUCUUUUUGUCUGUUUUUCUUCACAGAACACAGGAGCAUGGACCGGGCCGCGUCGAAGCUCCUUUGAAAUUGACAGAAGGCUCAAGUAGCUCUCUCGGCUUUUAACUUGGAGCUCUGAAACAGCAGGGCGCCUAAUCUGAAAAGGCCUUUUCAUUUGUUGCGGCAGUGGAAUCCUUUAAUGGCAUCUCUGCACCUGCCGAGUCCCCGGAACACAAAACGUGCUGAGUGACGUCUGCUGCGAUCGCGGCCGCAGUGCCGCAUCUUUUGGGGUGAAGAUGACUCGGUAAACGGAGUAAGAAGCUGGACCAAAAUGAUGAGGAGUGGACGAGUGAAUAGAAGCCCUGACAAAGCCUUCGAGGAAAGGUCACGUCUCAAGGGAAGGAAUCUUGGCGGCGUUUAACUCGGCGUAUAGAGGAAAUUCAAGGACCGCCACUUGAAACGGUGCGAUGAGGACAGCCGAGAAGACGCCGCAGGUUUUCUUCUUCAGCAGUGAACUGACAUGGAUCCAACCGAUAAUCAGCGUCAUCAGUUUGACCCCACAAACAGUUUCGAAGAGCUCAUUUGAAUUUCUACACGUUCUUUCUCCUUCUUUUACUGUACAGAAAUCCCUGAUUGUCAUUAGUAAAUAUGUUUUAAGCUCAUUUCUUCAAAGGAUUUGAUCUUGCGGCUCAAUAUCAGAUUGUGGCAACUAAAGCACAAUGAGAUGUUCUCAUUGUGUCUUUGCAGCAGUUAGUCGAGGUCAGUGAAAGAUCGGCACGCGACGUACAGGACAACAACCUCUGGCAUAUAGUAGAUAAUAGAACUUAUUAGCUCCUCGACUUGAAGUGCCCACAGUGUUUUAAGGCCGUCCACUUACUGGGCCCAUAAUGACCGGGAAUAGAAGCAAAGGACGAUGCAGAAAGGCAGCAAAAGACAAAUGAGAGAAGUGUCUGAACUCGUAGUUGUUAUCUAACAACUUCCCCCUGCUGAUCACUUCAGUGAUUUUUUUUAAUUUAGAUAGCGUCAAUCAGAAAAUCACUCGUUGUCAUUUAGGUCUGACUUUAUUUAUGUGCUUUUCAUAAUUUGAUGUCAAGUUACUGUGAAGCUUGCACAGAUAAGAAACACAUCACGUGAACAAAUGCUGCUGUAUGACUAUCAGAUAUUCAACGGCUUCUGCGCACACACUGAUGUUGCAUAUUAUAUACGUCCCGUUGAACAAAUGUGUAGCGCUUGUCAAAUUUCAUUAUGUUGUUUUCACAAAGGCACAGGAUGUGUCGCUAAAGCCACACACAAACCUGUAUGAAUAGGCUAACAUAUAGCAUAUACAUGUUACCAAUAGCAUUAUUGUUCUUUAGCAGCAGGUACUGUCUUCAGCAGGUGUUUCCAGGUGUGGAUUAAUCCACAUUUGGUGCUCUGGUGAGUACUUACAGGAGCAGAACGGUGUAUAUGGGGUCACAUCAGAAUACACCCAAGUGCCUGCGUUGGUGGUAAUGAGGGACAUUGUCACCCAGUGUACUGACAGAUGGGCUUUAACAUCUGUCGGACAAGAAUGCAGCGCUAAGACGGCCAACAGUCUCCCAUGUUAGGCCUCGGCUAGUUCACAAUCAAUCCUUUAUUUGGUCUAUUAAAGGAGACGUGUUGGUUGUAAUAGAAAUGAAACAUGUAAUAAUGAUCUAAUUAUCUGACUUUGAAGGGGGCACUAUAGAAAAUCAAUGAAUUUACUUAUUGCAGAUGUCAUUUGCUUGUUUGCCUCCCUUUGGGACUACGCCUCGUCACAGAGACAAGCUAAUAAAUAAAGAGCUGAAUGAGGGUCUGGUUGUUUGCGGACCUCCUGAGGCACAACGUGUUGGGUUUAGGGGGAGCAGGGGUCACUGCUGAUACUCGACUGGCAUGGAAAUGACUUCCUCCUCUCAUGCAAACGUCACAAAGAGGCUCUGAUCCUAAUCGCUAAGCAAUCGCUGUCUUGUUUAAUCCUGCAGUGACGGCAAGAAUGGAUUUCAAAAAUCUGGUGGUGAGGAAUUAGGAAUUUCCAAGACGAUGUUGAAGACCGGACGAGCUACAGUAAGGCUCAAAAACAAUAACUUCAAAACGGAAAUCUUCUCCCAGAUGGCCGUUGUAAAUGAAAUAUAAUUUAGCAAGCAUUUUUAGAUCCAUAUAAUAAACUGUCAUCUUCCCUCUGCAAAACAACGUUUAAUGGUUUUACGGUAUCCAAACACUGAUUACAUUUAAUACUGUUAUGUAACCGACGUCUCUGUAAGAGACUGAGAAAUAAAUGUGCCGUGCAUGAAGCGUGGGUGAUUAACUAAAGAACCAUGCCCGUGUGUUUCCCGUAAAGAUUUUUAAAAUUUGAAUUUUUAAGGAAGCAACUAUUCUAUUCUUUUGUUCAUUUCGGGGGGGAAAAAAACAGUGGAAGAUUAUACAUUUUCAUUUCAUUUAAUCGUCUCUGAAUCAGCAAAUGAAUGAAAUGCACAGUGUGCUUUGGGUAGAAACCUGCGGCUCUCCGGGGGAUCGAUUGUGUGAAGAGAAAUUGUCCGCCAUCGGCUGCAUGGGGCCCGAAAUAUUCCGUUGGCGGUCACGUUCUCUGCCAUUAGCGGGGCGAGCUCUCGGCAACGAUCGGUCCCUUUGUUGCCAUUAAAAUGUGUGAAUAAAAAAAAGUAGGACUCAAACUGUAGUUUGCUGACACAAAGUGUGUAAUUAUCAUUCGACGUAUAACUGCCCCUGCGGCGUUCUCAAAGGGGAGUGAAUGUCGCCGCGUGCAGUGAUCCAUAUCACCUUAUCUCCAGUUCCCCUCGGGGCCCUGCAUUCGGCGCGGAGCAGCAGGCUAAUAAAGAUGACAGAGGUUUGUGCCACUGUUUAAAGAGCCAUGACACAUUUCCUUUUUUCACUGCCCCCCC